UUUAAAGAUCUUUGUCUGAUAUGAGG
rnacentral:piRNA from 1 species